ACUCAAAGGAAUUGACGGGGACCCGCACAAGCGGUGGAUGAUGUGGUUUAAUUCGAUGCAACGCGAAAAAUACCUUACCUACCCUUGACAUGUCUGGAAUUUCUGCAGAGAUGUGAAAGUGCCCGAAAGGGAGCCAGAACACAGGUGCUGCAUGGCUGUCGUCAGCUCGUGUCGUGAGAUGUUGGGUUAAGUCCCGCUAACGAGCGCAACCCUUGUCAUUAGUUGCUACGAAAGGGCACUCUUAUGAGACUGCCGGUGACAUACCGGAGGAAGGUGGGAUGACGUCAAAGUCCUCAUGGCCCUUAUGGGUAGGGCUACACACGUCAUACAAUGGCUGGUACAGAGGGUUGCCAACCCGCGAGGGGGAGCUAAUCCCAUAAAACCAGUCGUAGUCCGUGAUCGUAGUCAUGCAACUCGACUGCGUGAAGUCGGUAAUCGCAUAGUAA
rnacentral:rRNA from 1 species